UUCAAUUUCCGUUAUGAUUUACUCUCCAAUGGCUGAAUCCAAGAGGCUUACUAGAGAAAGAGGGUAAGAACAUUUACAAGACUCAUUGGUGUGCAAAACCUUCCUCAAAUUCAGAACGCAAAUGUAGAAUCUUUGUCUACUCGUGAGGAUCUUG